UACAGAGGGGGCAAGCGUUGUUCGGAAUUACUGGGCGUAAAGGGCGCGUAGGCGGCCUGUUAAGUCGAACGUGAAAUCCCCGGGCUCAACCCGGGAACUGCGUCCGAUACUGGCAGGCUUGAAUCCGGGAGAGGGAUGCGGAAUUCCAGGUGUAGCGGUGAAAUGCGUAGAUAUCGUAAGGAAGACCAGCGGCGAAGGCGGGUCUCUGGACAGUUCCUGACGCUGAGGCACGAAGGUCAGGGGAGCAAACGGG
rnacentral:rRNA from 1 species